rnacentral:lncRNA from 1 species
GUUGGCCAUAAGGCCUCCUGACAAGGACGCCUCGGUGAACAGAUGAAUGAAUGCAUGCUUCAUUCAUUCAGAAUUCAUUUCCUUCAGAAGCAGCUCUGGGGUGUUUUAGUUCUGAGACACGGCCGCCAGGGGGCACCAAUAGCCGCACAGACGCAGUCACAGCUCUGCAAGUCUCGGAGGGUUUGAACGCCUGAUGCCCUGGCGGACACGGACUGCCCGGGUGAGGAAAACGAUGUCCUAACCAAAAGCUGAUCUAGACAGUGUGCCACACACUCCUUAAUCCCAGCACUUGGAAGGCCGAUGUGUGCAGCUUGAUUUGGGUGUGGUCCUCUGCCAGAGCAGGAUGCUCUCUUCACCACAGAGUCAUCUCUCCAGCUCCAGCACCCAAAAGUGCUGUCAGCUGUUCUGGAUGCCGGCAAAUUACUUCCAGAUAUCUGGCCUUGGUGGAUAAUGGUUCCUAGUUUGUGUAACAACAGACCUAGGCCCCUGCGCACACCCAUCAUGGGGGCCAGUGAAAGGUGCCUGGAGACUAGUGAAGGACUACUGAGACAUGCCCUUGUAGAAUGUCUGAGGGCUUGUGUACGUGCCUUCUAGGACUAUCUUGAGGAUUAAAGGAAAUAUUUGAUGUCAGCUCUAUACGUGAUAAUACAUGUCUUCUGCCAGCAUCCCCACUUUUGGAAAGCUACUUAAGAGGAUGCUUGAAUAAACCAUGGUCUCCAGUAUGGACUGAGAGCCCUCCUGAUGUUAGACCCCCGGAAAAUUCAGGUAUCCGGGGUCCAGGGCCACGUUCACGGUCACCCCAAUCACCAGGCGGAUUUGAGAGCUUGCUGCAAACUGCACGAGGCUUUAUUGUAAUUUAACGAGCUAACCCCAUGUUAGCUCGGGUCUUUCACCCAC